GAUAUGUUUCAGAAAUGGUUGCAAUUACCUACUGGUGGUAAGAUGGCCGAGCUUCAGGGUUUAUAACAACCCAGUUCAAAGAGCCAUCAAGUCCGCGACCCGCAAAGGCGGUUAACCUGGUUAAAGUCCAGGACCAACGGUACAGUCCGGAUGUCAGAAACGGAGA
ncrna:unclassified sequences FMN riboswitch (RFN element)